AAAUCGUAAGUUCUAAGAACGUAAACUUUGGAAGUUUAAGGAAAAAGAAACUUCAAAUUUA
rnacentral:tRNA from 1 species